UACGUAGGGCGCAAGCGUUGUCCGGAAUUAUUGGGCGUAAAGAGCUCGUAGGCGGCUUGUCACGUCGGGUGUGAAAGCCCGGGGCUUAACCCCGGGCCUGCAGUCGAUACGGGCAGACUGGAGUUCGGCAGGGGAGACUGGAAUUCCUGGUGUAGCGGUGAAAUGCGCAGAUAUCAGGGGGAACACCGGUGGCGAAGGCGGGUCUCUGGGCCGAUACUGACGCUGAGGAGCGAAAGCGUGGGGAGCAAACAGG
rnacentral:rRNA from 1 species